UAUGGCGACCGGCGCACGGGUGAGUAACACGUAUCCAACCUGCCGAUGACUCGGGGAUAGCCUUUCGAAAGAAAGAUUAAUACCCGAUGGCAUAGUUCUUCCGCAUGGUAGAACUAUUAAAGAAUUUCGGUCAUCGAUGGGGAUGCGUUCCAUUAGGUUGUUGGCGGGGUAACGGCCCACCAAAGCGACGAUCGGUAGCCGGACUGAGAGGUUGAACGGCCACAUUGGGACUGAGACACGGCCCAGACUCCUACGGGAGGCAGCAUG
rnacentral:rRNA from 1 species